UUUGAAGUUGAUGCAUCUUCAAUCAAAUAAUAUCAAUAGAAAAGUUUUUUGUCACAGUAUUGGCACCAUUUCUGGAGACAGAAAGAGGCAAAUCAUGCAAACACUUACAUGAUAAUUAUAUUCCUCGUGUUCAUCUUAUAACUACGAGGAUUAAUGAAAGUAAUCAGUACAACCUUUUGUUGGCCAAAUGUGGAGCAGGUUUACAAGUUCCAAAAAGAUCCAGCUGUGCAAUCACAUGCUGAUUUAAUUUGGCCAUUGCUCAUCUUGUCUCCUCCCAUGGUUGUUUUCCUAUAAAUACCAACUCUCAAAAUUAAAUUCCAUCAAAACUUUGCGAAAUCCCCUAAUCUGAAAGAAAACCAUAAGAAAUGGCUUCACUUUAUUCAAAACCCAAUCACGUCCGAUCAAUCAGUUUGCCUGGGAGAUCACACCCUACCAUCCAGAGAGUUGAAGAGGAGCUAAACAAGCUCAAAUCAUUGGAAGUAUCUGUUGCACCAACAACAGUGAGCAAUGGUCUAAAAGGUUUGGAGAAAUUGUACAAGUGCAUAGAUGAUCUUCUCAACUUGCCUCAAAACCUUCAUGCCCUCUCCCAAAAUCUACAUGCAAAAUGGGUUGAAGAUCUAUUGGAUAAAUCAAUGAGGCUUCUUGAUCUGUGUGGCACUGCAAGGGAACUUGUAUCACAAUGCAAAGAAAAUGUAAGAGACCUCCAAUCCUCCCUCAAGAGGAGAAAAGGAGAUUCAACCAGAGAUGACAACGUUACCAGAUUUAACUCUUUCAGCAAGAAGAUCAAGAGGAAUGCCAAAAGAUUAGUAUUGACCUUGAAACAAAUAGAUCAAGACACUACAGUAUCUGUUUUGCUAGAUGCAGAUCAAGAUACAAUAGCUGUGAUCAGAGCACUAAAAGAAGCUAAUGCAGAAUGCAUUUCAACUUUCCAAAUGCUCUUGUCCUUCUUGUGUGUACCACUUUUGAAGCCCAAGGAAUCUAUAUGGUCACUGCUUUCUAGAUUGGUAAACAAAGAAAGAAUAGCAUCACUUGUCAUAGAAGAAAACAUGAGCUUAGAAACCAGGCUCGAAAGCUUUGAGACUUAUCUUGUCAGCUUCGAAGAUGGAUUGGAAGCAACAUUUAGAUGCCUGAUUAGAUCUAGAAGCUCGCUACUCAAUGUUUUCUCCUGCUAAUCUGGCAGUUGUUAUUCUAUACACUGUAAAUUAUAUAUACACAUUUUUGUAGUUAUGUUAGAAAUAUACAAUCUUCAAGCGAUUGAUUAUACAUCAAUGUCAUGUCUCUUUCUCUCUAUAUGUAUUAUAUAUGGAGCGUACAUGAAUACUGCCAUAAACUGUGCAGUAGGACUAUAAUUCAAAUACCUGAAUGGAGUCCAAAUUUUAACAGGUUAUGCCUAUGACUUUCAGCAUUGUCUAAAUCUUAUGUCAGGUUAAGUUUUAUCCUGAAAAUAACUCAAAAUAUCAUUGAAAUGAUUCUCCUUAAACUAGAGGAGAAGCAGAUAAAACUAAUAGCAGAUCCUUUACAUACUUCCAUUGCAUAAUUAUUGAAAUGAUCAAACCAAGGAGCGAAAGAGAAAAUUCUAUGACUCCUGAACCAAUAUUAAAGUGUAAGAAGCCACUUAUCUACAUUUGGAAAAAAGUACUUCUUCCUUAUUCUUCUUAUCCAUCAUUCUUACACAACUAUAAUUUAUUAGAUAAAACUGUGAAUGAUAUCUUUUUCUAUUUGGUUCAUAAUCAACUAGCUAUGGGGCCACCACAGGUUUUCUGAAUUUGUUCUUACAAUUAUUGGAAGUAUUAGACCUAAAUCCUAAUCAAGAAGGUUUCUUAAAACUGUAGACAAAAUUCUUUUUGGACAGAGCAGGUUCGUGAAGGUAAACGGUAAGCAAAAGUUUUUAAUUCUUGUUUGUGAAUGUAAGUAGAAGCGGAUGAUUUAAUAAAAAUCUUUAAGUUUCCACAUAUGAGAUACAUUAUAAUAGUUCUACAUGUGAGAUAACACUCAAUUUUUGAUGUAUUACAUUUUCUUAGUGCCAACAGUAGACUGCAUUUUGAGAGUUGACUUCAAACAUUAAAAAGAACUUGAAAUGCAUAACUUGAUAGCUAGUCGUAUUAUGUUUAUCCGCUAACUUGAUCACGCUAUUUCAUUUUUUGACUGGAUCAUCACAUUUACCUAUUUAUACUACAGUAUAAACUAUUUACCACGUAGAGAGGUUAUAAAUUAAUUACAUUAUCAUAUUUAUAUACAAAAUAAUGUAUUAGAAUCUUACCCAUUUUCUCUCCUUCUUCUUCUUCUUCUUUCUCCAAAUUCAAACCUCUUCAAAUUCAUUGACGAUCCAUAAAAUUCUUUCACCAUCAACUCUGCACCAGUCAGUUUCACUCAGCAUCUAAUUUCUCUAAAAAAACAUAGCAAUAACAAAAAAUAAAAAGCAACAAAGUUUGAAGGAAAAGAAUGAAUGAACAGACCUGCGAAAGAAAUAAACCUCUUAACGGAUUGAAAGGACUCUGGUAAACCCACCGAUGUUAUAGAGAAGAAUUUGACAACUAAUAAAAAUCUUCGUUGACAGCCACUAAAUAUUUUGAGAGAAUUUGGUGAAGAUCCGGUUGGUUUUUGUUGGAAUUUCAGAC
rnacentral:lncRNA from 1 species